GUGCACGCUGGCGGUAGGCCUAACACAUGCAAGUCGCACGGCAGCACAGUAAGAGCUUGCUCUUACGGGUGGCGAGUGGCGGACGGGUGAGGAAUACAUCGGAAUCUACUUUUUCGUGGGGGAUAACGUAGGGAAACUUACGCUAAUACCGCAUACGACCUACGGGUGAAAGCAGGGGAUCUUCGGACCUUGCGCGAUUGAAUGAGCCGAUGUCGGAUUAGCUAGUUGGCGGGGUAAAGGCCCACCAAGGCGACGAUCCGUAGCUGGUCUGAGAGGAUGAUCAGCCACACUGGAACUGAGACACGGUCCAGACUCCUACGGGAGGCAGCAGUGGGGAAUAUUGGACAAUGGGCGCAAGCCUGAUCCAGCCAUACCGCGUGGGUGAAGAAGGCCUUCGGGUUGUAAAGCCCUUUUGUUGGGAAAGAAAAGCAGCAGGUUAAGACCCCGCUGUUCUGACGGUACCCAAAGAAUAAACACCGGCUAACUUCGU
rnacentral:rRNA from 1 species